GGAACUGAGUAUUCUCUGGACUCAGGGACACCAGACAACUCUUGGGCCCGGACUGGGGGACAUCUCAGAAAUGAGGUUUCAGUGAAAGCCUGCACACCAACAAUGAGAAUCCUAGACCCUUCUCCAGUUGGCUCCCAGGAUACUGGUAGAGAAGUUUAUAUUUUGCAGGCAGAAGAUGGGAGGUUUUCUCUCCAAGGGAAAUGAUGAGCCCAAGAAGAAAAAGACACUUGAGGGAAGCUGCGACAUGAAAGUAAGAGAGGCACCAAACAACUUGAAAGGAAAUUUGCCACAAAGACAUAAUGAAUACAGAGAGGGGGGAAAAUACUUCCGAAAUAGUCUUAGUGAGUUAAGAGAACAUUAAUCCUUAAAACAAGAACAGGAAACUAUAAAAAUAAUAUUCAGUAAGAAAAAUAUUUUAUACAUUAAAUUAUGAUGGCAGAAAAUUUGAAAACAUAUGAACGGAAGGUAUGAAAAUUAAGCUUAGUAAAUCUCUCAGAAAGUAGAAUAAGAAGGUAGAGAUGGCCAACAUUAAAGGACAUGAAAUUAGAAAAUCAACCCAGAGUGCUCAAUGUCUAAAUAUUAGGACUUCUGAAAGGACAGAGAAAAAAGGGGAAAUUUAAUAAAGGCACUUGGAUAUUGAUUUCUACCCUGAGAAAUAUCAUCAAGCAUCCAUCCCAUUAAAUUAAAAGAUGCCUUCACAUGUUUAUAUAAUUUUGACAUUAUUUUUGAAAUAUACACCAGGGGAAAAAAAAAAGAGUCCUAGAAAUGUCUGGGGAAAAAAUAAACAGCCCAUAUGCAAAGAGACCUGGAAUAGAAGUAGUAAUUGACUUUUCCAAAGCAACCGUGGAAGCUGGACGACAAUAAAAAAAUUCCUUCAGGGAUCUAUGGAAAAUUAUUUCUAACCUAGAAUUUUCAUUCAGCCAAAUUAUUAAUGGAGUGUGAGGGUAGCAUAAAAAUAUUUUCAGUUGGUACAAAUAUAUUCAUGGGAUCUUAGUAUGCUUCUAAAGGCUGUGCUUCACCAAAUAUGAAAUAAACCAAAAGAGAAGAAGACACAAGAUUCAGUGAACAACUGCACUCUCAAUUUCCUGGAGGAAGGCCCAAGGAGGACUCAGCAGGACCACUGCACAUCAGGCCCUGAGACCCGGUGGUCUGCACUGGGACAGAAUGACUUUCUGAGGGAAACAACUGAAGAGAUAGAUUUGCCGAUGUAUUGAGAAGAGUUUACACCUCGGGGUUUAGGAGUACACAAACUACC
rnacentral:lncRNA from 1 species